GAGAAUUUGUCCAAAUAAUUCAGCAAAGAUUUCCCUUUAAAACCAACUUAAUUAAUGUACAAAAAAUUUAGAAAGAAUUUCCCUUUUGAAAGAGCCUUUUGUCCUCUCUAUGUGACUGAAAAGAUCUGUGAGAAGCGCUGAGGAUGUGAAAUCUCUGGUGCAAAUGAAGUAGCACACUGUUAAACAUGGCUAUUAAGAUAUUUUCUUGGGAGUUGUUUUUGAUUCAUGUGGAAUAGAUUAAAAGUCUGUUUCAAAUCCCACAAGAUUUACCAUGGAGUAUAAUUAUACAUGAAACAGAAUGAGGAAUGCAGUCCAACAAUUACUUUAAUUAGAUGGUGGUUACUGGAGCUGUCAGUGUGCCUAGUCUCACAAAGAGCUAAGAAAGGAGAGUUAGGUAAUGGAAUUGUUGAUAAAUGUUUGAACUGCAGAGGAAUUAAUUAUUUGUAUAAAUAAAUACUGGACUAGAAACAUUAAUAAGCUGAUGGGGUCUUGCCCUUCAUCCUCAUUGGUGAUAUAAUACCUAUCUUAAAGACCACCUUGCUGUCUUGAUAAAGCAGCCCUCAAGGGUUAACCUUGCUCUCAGAGUAAUUGAGCCUUUUGCACUUUUUGGGGGGCCUGAAACUUGAAGUAAUAAAACUUGGCAUGAGCAGCAAUGUAAGACUGACAUCAGUAACACCUGAGAUCCUCUUUUCUUCUACUUUCAUUUUGUCAGUGAGAUUAAUGUGAAUGCUUCUGAAAGUGAAAGAAGAGGUGAAGAUAUUAAUUCUCCUUGACCAGGGACUCUACAGUCUCUUCCAAAAUCUGGAACAAAACACCUGGGCUAAACAUAAGGCAUCUCCAGCUUUCCAAGAGACUCAGCAGUUCACAGUCCCCUUUUUUCAGAAGAUAGACCCCAUCAAGCAGUGACAUUUCUGAGAUCUCAGAGACAUCCAUUGAAAGCCUCUCUGUGAUAUGGUGCAGCCCAGGUAUUUUUGAAGCCCGUGUUCUGAAGAGAAAAGGAUGCCACAGAAGAAAUCCAGCAGAGCCCAUAGAAGCAGGUUAGUGACUGUGUGACAGCAGCAGUAAAAUUCCAAUUCACAGCCCCCCCCGCCCCAUCAAUUUCUGAGCAGAUGCUGCUGCUGUUCAGGUUUGGCCCAGUCUGAUCCAGGAGGACUCCACCUGUGAAUACCACACUUGUGGUUUUAUGGCACAGAAUUAGUGAAGAAAUGAUAAUCAUAAAGUACAUGUGGGGUACAGAGGCUGCUCUGGAUCAUGUUCUGAAGUAAACAAGCAUGAAUUUCAACACAAACAUUUUUCUGCAGGCACCAUAAAAAGUUUCGCCUCCUGACACACAGAAAGUUCACCAGUCUCACAAAACUGGUUUCCUCAAUGAAAGCAGUAACUGGAGAACGCAGGAGCAGUGAAACAACUGAAUACAAGUAUGCAAUCUGACAUCAUUCAGGCUCAGUACAACUUUUGAAGAAGUACCAAGGAAAAACCAUAAAUGAAAAAGGGAGUGCUAUUUUUGCAGUUAUAAUGGCAUGAGGAUGGAUUUGCAUUUUUCUUUCUAGCUAUUAUGUUUGCUUAACUGAUAGCUAUAACUCAUGUUCUGAGUUACGAACUUCUUGCACUAAUAGCACGCAUUUGUUUUGUACUCUAACCAUCACUCUUCAAAAAGACUGAUGAAUGAUGAAACAGGAUUCAGAAUAGAAUAGUAGGGAAACAUUUUUUUUCAGUGAAGAAAGAAGAAAACUUAAUAUGUUGAGUGCACAAAAAAGAAAACUGAGAAGUGAUAGUGGGAAGAAUUUCUGUCAGAAAGAUGAAUCCACGAGAUUCAGAAGCUGGAAGCUAAACUAAGAUAAAUUCAGAGUGUAAUUAAUCAGUGGAACAACCUUCCUCUAGUUAUGAUGGUUUUUCUGUCACCGGCAGUUUUUAACCCAAGUCUCAACAACUUUAUAAGAGAAGUCUUCAUAUUCUUAAAUAAGAUAAAACUUCCAAGGAGAAAUUAUUUGUCUGAGAAUUUUGACCCACAAAGUGGAGGAAGAGAGGAAAAAAGUCUCCAUUAAGCUUUUUCACUUAGUUUUUGCAUCGAUAUGUAAGUCAUUCAAAUAAUUUUAAGAUGCAUGUACCACAGAUAUUUUAUGUUUUUAUCAGCGGGAAUUCAAAGGGAAUCUGAGAACAAAAUAAAAAUAAUGAUGAUCAAAUUGUCA
ensembl:lncRNA